UGGCCUAAUGGCCCAAUGGCAAGGCGCUUGACUACGAUUGAAUUCGAUAUCAAGAGAUUCCAGGUUCGACCCCUGGUUAGGUCA
rnacentral:tRNA from 1 species